AUGCUCACUUUCGUAGCAUAUAUACUAAAACUGGAAUGACAGAGGGAAGAUUAGCAUGGCCCUUACACAAGGAUGACACACAAAUUCAUGAAGCAUACCAUACUUUU